GAGGGUAUAGCUCAGUGGUAGAGUACAUGCCUAGCGUGCAUGAGGUCCUGGGUUCAAUCCCUGGUACCUCCA
rnacentral:tRNA from 1 species